UCUAUGAUCAUGACCUGAUAAUAGGAAUUAACUACCUUUUCGUGCCAUAAUAAGUGGGAUUUCACGUGUUCGACGAUUACAUCCAAAUUGCCUAUAAAGGAGAGGUAAGAGGACAGUAUUGGUAAGACACUUCUAGGCUAAAUCCUAUUGGAUUCUAUUCUAAAAUAUCUACUGUUUACCGCUCUCCACUGAUUUAAGCAUCGGAAGGUUUCUGUCGGACACAAUUUCGGCCAGUGGACUUCUUUUGCAGGUUAUUUUUCACUAGAGUCAGGCACAAUCGAAGAUUGAUCGCAAUAGAUUGACACACCAAAAAGGGAAAAAAAAUCUAGUCAUGGCAAAAACAAGAGUCCAGAAUAACUCCAUCGGCUCCGUCAGGCAAUCUUUCCAUCGAAAAGAUACCCCACCUCCACCUCCAUUGAUAGAGUUCAAUUUCUCGCAUCCAGUUGUCAUUGUAGACAUACAGCAAUUCGCUGCGCUAGUGCAGCAAGUGAAAAUAUUAAUGGAGGUAGUGCACAACCUCUAGCAACAACAAAUGCAAUAGCAGUAGCAACAACCGGUGGUAGAGGAGCCAGUGUCGCAUACUGUACCAUCCAGGCACAGUCAUCAUAGCCCACGAUGAUCUCCUUCUCUAUUCCCAGAACGAUGAUCGGC
rnacentral:lncRNA from 1 species